UACGUAGGGUGCGAGCGUUAAUCGGAAUUACUGGGCGUAAAGCGUGCGCAGGCGGUUUUGUAAGCCAGAUGUGAAAUCCCCGGGCUUAACCUGGGAAUGGCAUUUGGGACUGCAAGGCUGGAGUGUGGCAGAGGAGACUGGAAUUCCUGGUGUAGCAGUGAAAUGCGUAGAUAUCAGGAGGAAUACCGAUGGCGAAGGCAGGUCUCUGGGACGUGACUGACGCUGAGACGCGAAAGCGUGGGGAGCAAACAGG
rnacentral:rRNA from 1 species